NNNUUGGUGGCGAUAGCGAAGAGGUCACACCCGUUCCCAUACCGAACACGGAAGUUAAGCUCUUCAGCGCCGAUGGUAGUCGGGGGUUUCCCCCUGUGAGAGUAGGACGCCGCCAAGC
rnacentral:rRNA from 1 species